AACGAACGCUGGCGGCAUGCCUAACACAUGCAAGUCGAACGAUUGCCUUCGGGUGAUAGUGGCGCACGGGUGCGUAACGCGUGGGAAUCUGCCCUUAGGUUCGGAAUAACAGCUGGAAACGGCUGCUAAUACCGGAUGAUAUCGCGAGAUCAAAGAUUUAUCGCCUGAGGAUGAGCCCGCGUUGGAUUAGGUAGUUGGUGGGGUAAAGGCCUACCAAGCCGACGAUCCAUAGCUGGUCUGAGAGGAUGAUCAGCCACACUGGGACUGAGACACGGCCCAGACUCCUACGGGAGGCAGGAGUGGGGAAUAUUGGACAAUGGGCGCAAGCCUGAUCCAGCAAUGCCGCGUGAGUGAUGAAGGCCCUAGGGUUGUAAAGCUCUUUUACCCGGGAAGAUAAUGACUGUACCGGGAGAAUAAGCCCCGGCUAACUCCGUG
rnacentral:rRNA from 1 species